UACGGGGGGAGCAAGCGUUGUUCGGAUUUACUGGGCGUAAAGGGCGCGUAGGCGGCGCCGCAAGUCGACUGUGAAAUCUCCGGGCUUAACCCGGAAAGGUCAGCCGAUACUGCGGGGCUAGAGUGCAGAAGGGGCAACUGGAAUUCUCGGUGUAGCGGUGAAAUGCGUAGAUAUCGAGAGGAACACCUGCGGCGAAGGCGGGUUGCUGGGCUGACACUGACGCUGAUGCGCGAAAGCCAGGGGAGCAAACGGG
rnacentral:rRNA from 1 species